rnacentral:rRNA from 1 species
GACGAACGCUGGCGGCGUGCUUAACACAUGCAAGUCGAACGGAAAGGCCCUGCUUUUGUGGGGUGCUCGAGUGGCGAACGGGUGAGUAACACGUGAGUAACCUGCCCUUGACUUUGGGAUAACUUCAGGCAACUGGGGCUAAUACCGGAUAGGAGCUCCUGCUGCAUGGUGGGGGUUGGAAAGUUUCGGCGGUUGGGGAUGGACUCGGGGGUUAUCAGCUUGUUGGUGGGGUAGUGGCUUACCAAGGCUUUGGCGGGUAGCCGGCCUGAGAGCGUGGCCGGCCACAUUGGGACUGCGAUACGGCGCAGACUCCUACGGGAGGCAGCAGGGGGGAAUAUGGCACAAUGGGGGGAAGCCUGAGGCAGCAACGCCGCGUGCGGGAUGACGGCCUUCGGGGUGUAAACCGCUUUCGCCUGUGACGAAGCGUGAGUGACGGUAAUGGGUAAAGAAGCACCGGCUAACUACGUG